rnacentral:rRNA from 1 species
GGGUUGUGAGGUUAAGCGACUAAGCGUACACGGUGGAUGCCCUGGCAGUCAGAGGCGAUGAAGGGCGUGCUAAUCUGCGAUAAGCGCCGGUAAGGUGAUAUGAACCGUUAUAACCGGCGAUACCCGAAUGGGGAAACCCAGUGUGACUCGUCACACUAUCAUUAACUGAAUCCAUAGGUUAAUGAGGCGAACCGGGGGAACUGAAACAUCUAAGUACCCCGAGGAAAAGAAAUCAACCGAGAUUCCCCCAGUAGCGGCGAGCGAACGGGGAGGAGCCCAGAGCCUGAAUCAGCAUGUGUGUUAGUGGAAGCGUCUGGAAAGGCGCGCGAUACAGGGUGACAGCCCCGUACACAAAAGCGCAUGUGCUGUGAGCUCGAUGAGUAGGGCGGGACACGUGGUAUCCUGUCUGAAUAUGGGGGGACCAUCCUCCAAGGCUAAAUACUCCUGACUGACCGAUAGUGAACCAGUACCGUGAGGGAAAGGCGAAAAGAACCCCGGCGAGGGGAGUGAAAAAGAACCUGAAACCGUGUACGUACAAGCAGUGGGAGCACCCUUUAGGGUGUGACUGCGUACCUUUUGUAUAAUGGGUCAGCGACUUAUAUUCUGUAGCAAGGUUAACCGUAUAGGGGAGCCGGAGGGAAACCGAGUCUUAACCGGGCGUUAAGUUGCAGGGUAUAGACCCGAAACCCGGUGAUCUAGCCAUGGGCAGGUUGAAGGUUGGGUAACACUAACUGGAGGACCGAACCGACUAAUGUUGAAAAAUUAGCGGAUGACCUGUGGCUGGGGGUGAAAGGCCAAUCAAACCGGGAGAUAGCUGGUUCUCCCCGAAAGCUAUUUAGGUAGCGCCUCGUGAAUUCAUCUCCGGGGGUAGAGCACUGUUUCGGCUAGGGGGCCAUCCCGGCUUACCAACCCGAUGCAAACUGCGAAUACCGGAGAAUGUUAUCACGGGAGACACACGGCGGGUGCUAACGUCCGUCGUGAAGAGGGAAACAACCCAGACCGCCAGCUAAGGUCCCAAAGUCAUGGUUAAGUGGGAAACGAUGUGGGAAGGCCCAGACAGCCAGGAUGUUGGCUUAGAAGCAGCCAUCAUUUAAAGAAAGCGUAAUAGCUCACUGGUCGAGUCGGCCUGCGCGGAAGAUGUAACGGGGCUAAACCAUGCACCGAAGCUGCGGCAGCGACGCUGAUGCGUUGUUGGGUAGGGGAGCGUUCUGUAAGCCUGCGAAGGUGUGUCGUGAGGCAUGCUGGAGGUAUCAGAAGUGCGAAUGCUGACAUAAGUAACGAUAAAGCGGGUGAAAAGCCCGCUCGCCGGAAGACCAAGGGUUCCUGUCCAACGUUAAUCGGGGCAGGGUGAGUCGACCCCUAAGGCGAGGCCGAAAGGCGUAGUCGAUGGGAAACGGGUUAAUAUUCCCGUACUUGGUGUUACUGCGAAGGGGGGACGGAGAAGGCUAUGUUGGCCGGGCGACGGUUGUCCCGGUUUAAGCGUGUAGGUGUGUGUUCCAGGUAAAUCCGGUUCACUUUAACACUGAGGCGUGAUGACGAGGCACUACGGUGCUGAAGCAACAAAUGCCCUGCUUCCAGGAAAAGCCUCUAAGCAUCAGGUAACAUCAAAUCGUACCCCAAACCGACACAGGUGGUCAGGUAGAGAAUACCAAGGCGCUUGAGAGAACUCGGGUGAAGGAACUAGGCAAAAUGGUGCCGUAACUUCGGGAGAAGGCACGCUGACAUGUAGGUGAAGUGAUUUACUCAUGGAGCUGAAGUCAGUCGAAGAUACCAGCUGGCUGCAACUGUUUAUUAAAAACACAGCACUGUGCAAACACGAAAGUGGACGUAUACGGUGUGACGCCUGCCCGGUGCCGGAAGGUUAAUUGAUGGGGUCAGCGCAAGCGAAGCUCCUGAUCGAAGCCCCGGUAAACGGCGGCCGUAACUAUAACGGUCCUAAGGUAGCGAAAUUCCUUGUCGGGUAAGUUCCGACCUGCACGAAUGGCGUAAUGAUGGCCAGGCUGUCUCCACCCGAGACUCAGUGAAAUUGAACUCGCUGUGAAGAUGCAGUGUACCCGCGGCAAGACGGAAAGACCCCGUGAACCUUUACUAUAGCUUGACACUGAACAUUGAGCCUUGAUGUGUAGGAUAGGUGGGAGGCUUUGAAGCGUGGACGCCAGUCUGCGUGGAGCCGACCUUGAAAUACCACCCUUUAAUGUUUGAUGUUCUAACGUGGACCCGUAAUCCGGGUUGCGGACAGUGUCUGGUGGGUAGUUUGACUGGGGCGGUCUCCUCCUAAAGAGUAACGGAGGAGCACGAAGGUUGGCUAAUCCUGGUCGGACAUCAGGAGGUUAGUGCAAUGGCAUAAGCCAGCUUGACUGCGAGCGUGACGGCGCGAGCAGGUGCGAAAGCAGGUCAUAGUGAUCCGGUGGUUCUGAAUGGAAGGGCCAUCGCUCAACGGAUAAAAGGUACUCCGGGGAUAACAGGCUGAUACCGCCCAAGAGUUCAUAUCGACGGCGGUGUUUGGCACCUCGAUGUCGGCUCAUCACAUCCUGGGGCUGAAGUAGGUCCCAAGGGUAUGGCUGUUCGCCAUUUAAAGUGGUACGCGAGCUGGGUUUAGAACGUCGUGAGACAGUUCGGUCCCUAUCUGCCGUGGGCGCUGGAGAACUGAGGGGGGCUGCUCCUAGUACGAGAGGACCGGAGUGGACGCAUCACUGGUGUUCGGGUUGUCAUGCCAAUGGCACUGCCCGGUAGCUAAAUGCGGAAGAGAUAAGUGCUGAAAGCAUCUAAGCACGAAACUUGCCCCGAGA